CCAGACUCCUACGGGAGGCAGCAGUGGGGAAUAUUGGACAAUGGGCGCAAGCCUGAUCCAGCCAUACCGCGUGGGUGAAGAAGGCCUUCGGGUUGUAAAGCCCUUUUGUUGGGAAAGAAAUCCAGCCGGCUAAUACCUGGUUGGGAUGACGGUACCCAAAGAAUAAGCACCGGCUAACUUCGUGCCAGCAGCCGCGGUAAUACGAAGGGUGCAAGCGUUACUCGGAAUUACUGGGCGUAAAGCGUGCGUAGGUGGUCGUUUAAGUCUGUUGUGAAAGCCCUGGGCUCAACCUGGGAACUGCAGUGGAAACUGGACGACUAGAGUGUGGUAGAGGGUAGCGGAAUUCCUGGUGUAGCAGUGAAAUGCGUAGAGAUCAGGAGGAACAUCCAUGGCGAAGGCAGCUACCUGGACCAACACUGACACUGAGGCACGAAAGCGUGGGGAGCAAACAGGAUUAGAUACCCUGGUAGUCCACGCCCUAAACGAUGCGAACUGGAUGUUGGGUGCAAUUUGGCACGCAGUAUCGAAGCUAACGCGUUAAGUUCGCCGCCUGGGGAGUACGGUCGCAAGACUGAAACUCAAAGGAAUUGACGGGGGCCCGCACAAG
rnacentral:rRNA from 1 species